rnacentral:rRNA from 1 species
UACGGAGGGUGCGAGCGUUGUCCGGAAUCACUGGGCGUAAAGGGCGCGUAGGCGGCUCAUGAAGGCUGUGGUGAAAGUCCGGGGCUCAACCUCGGAUCGGCCGUGGCGACUCGUGGGCUGGAGCACUGUAGAGGCAGGCGGAAUUCCGGGUGUAGCGGUGGAAUGCGUAGAGAUCCGGAAGAACACCGGUGGCGAAGGCGGCCUGCUGGGCAGUUGCUGACACUGAGGCGCGACAGCGUGGGGAGCAAACAGG